UGCGGCCGCGAUACCGGUUGAUCCUGCCGGACCCGACCACUAUCGGGGUGGGGCUAAGCCAUGGAAGUCGAACGCUCCGCAAGCGCGGGGCGUGGCAGACGGCUGAGUAACACGUGGCUAACCUACCCUCGGGACGGGGAUAGUCUCGGGAAACUGGGGCUAAUCCCCGAUAGGCGGAGACGCCUGGAAGGGUUCUCCGCCUAAAGGGCUGGGCCGCUGUGAAGGCCUAGCCGCCCGAGGAUGGGGCUGCGGCCCAUCAUGGUAGUUGGCGGGGUAACGGCCCGCCAAGCCGAUAACGGGUAGGGGCCGUGAGAGCGGGAGCCCCCAGAUGGGCACUGAGACAAGGGCCCAGGCCCUACGGGGUGCACCAGGCGCGAAACC
rnacentral:rRNA from 1 species